GGAGAGGGGAGAGAAAGACGUAGAAAAACAGACAAGGAGAGAGGGCAGGAGUGGGGGACACAGGUACUGGGAGAGAGUAGAGACACAGAGACAAGAGAGAAAAGGCAACAAAGACAAAGCCAGAGACGCCCAGCCCGAGAGACAGAGCCACACGGAGAGAAUGGAGAGGGGAGCAGGGUCAGAGGGCCCGGACGACGCAGAGAAGGACGCGAAAGGACGUGAGAGGGACUUCCCCCAGGGGCAGGGAGAGGCCUUGGGCAGCUCCUCCGCUGGGCCGGGCUGCCUGCCUGCUGGACUCCGGGAAGGAGGCAGUGACCGCACCCAUCUGGAAGCUGUCAGGUCCCUCAAGGAUGAGGGCGUUGGGAGGAAGCCAGACAUGAGCCACGUCUAGAGAGAGGAAGCGGCGGGAUUUGAAAAAGAUGGCCCUCCUUCUGGGAGAGCACCCACUGCUCAUCUGAAUUCUAGAGAACCACUCAAGUGCAUAUAGACGGCAUCCAUCCUAAGAAGGAAAGUGCUCUCUAAGAAGCCACUAUGCCUGAAAUGCCACCAUAUGUAUACACCAUUCCACUAUGGAAAACAUUGCCUUUUCGGGGCUCUUCCUGUGAAAUGCAGCAAGGAAAUGGUUUGUUGAGUGUGUGACUGCAUAUGGUUUCAUUUUUAUGCCUUAUUGACACUUAACCCUGUCCCAGGCCAUGAGCUCUUGCUGGACAUACCAGAACAAAGACAUAGUCUCUUCAAGAUGGCAUUCACAGCCAUAGGGCAGGACGACAGGUGGGCGACAACCAUAGCCAGCAGAAGAGCAGACACUGGAACAGAGGUUCAAACCAACAACUAUGGAGCGAGCUGAGCCUUUUAUUGAAGCGUAAUACAUAUACAGAAAAAUUCACCUAUCAUAAGUAUGCAUCUUGGUAAAUUUUCACAAGGAAUAUACCCAUGGAACCAACAUCCAGAUCAAAAUCUGUCAGGCGUCUAGCACCCAGAAGCCCCUGCGGGUCCCUGCCAGUUACUAUGUGCCCCCAAGGCUGACCACUGUCCUGUCUUCUGGUACCACAGGUUUGUUUUGCCUGUUUUUUGAACUUUAUAAAUGCAAGUGUACAGUAUGAACUGUGUCGUGUUCUGUUGUUCAACAGGACGUCUGUGAGAUUUCUCAAUAUUGCAGCUAUCUCCGUAGCUUGUAGCACUCCAUUGUGUGAAUCCGCCACUGUCUGUUGAUGGGCACUGGGUGGUCUCCAGUUCUUGGCUAUUAUGCAUAGUGCUCUGAAUAUCCUUGCAUGCGUCUUUGGUACACAUGCCUGUUGGGUAUAUUCCCAGGAGUAGACUUGGUGGGUUGGAGAGCAUGCGCAUGUUCAACUUGAAUAUGUGACGCCAAAUCAUUUUCUCAAGUGUUUGUAGAUGGAGGGUUUUGAGCAAGGAGGUGGCAGGAGCAGGCCUGGGUCUCGGCCGUCCCUCUCUGCACAGGCUGAGUGUGAAGGGCAUAGGGACAUCCCAGUGGAGCUGUCCUAAGGCUAGAGAGCAGUGGGUCUGGAGCUGGGGAGCUGGGGAGCUAGGCAGCAAGGCUCUGGGCUGAAGAAGGUGGAGAGGGUGUGGAGUGAGGAAGGUAGGGACCAGGGCCAGGCCAUGGAUACAGCCAUAAUGAGGAUGCCACGGAGACAGAGGAGCCCUCAGAGGCAACUGAGGAGGUGCAGCCUAGAGAAGAGGGAAGACCCGGCAAGAGGAAAGGAAGCAAAUCACAUGGGUGCCAAGGGGAGCAUCUGAGGCAGAGGCAGGCAUAGAGCACCAGAGGCACUAAGAGGGCCAGUUAGUCAAGACUGAGCAGGAUGUGUCCACCAGACUUGAUAAGGGAGCUGUGGGGACCUUAAGGAAGUCAUGGUCAAUGGGGUUGGUGUGUGUGCCAG
rnacentral:lncRNA from 10 species